UACGAAGGGGGCUAGCGUUGCUCGGAAUCACUGGGCGUAAAGCGCACGUAGGCGGAUUGCUAAGUCAGGGGUGAAAUCCUGGAGCUCAACUCCAGAACUGCCUUUGAUACUGGCAAUCUCGAGUCCGGGAGAGGUGAGUGGAACUGCGAGUGUAGAGGUGAAAUUCGUAGAUAUCCGCAAGAACACCAGUGGCGAAGGCGGCUCACUGGCCCGGUACUGACGCUGAGGUGCGAAAGCGUGGGGAGCAAACAAG
rnacentral:rRNA from 1 species